ACGCUCGACACCUACGGGAGGCAGCAGUUGGGAAUAUUGGACAAUGGGAGGAAACUCUGAUCCAGUGACGCCGCGUGAAGGAAGAAGGUCUUCGGAUUGUAAACUUAUUUUGUCAGGGAAGAAAAAUGACUGUACCUGAAGAAAAAGCACCGGCUAACUACGUACCAGCAGCCGCGGUAAUCUGAGCGGGCUGGCAAGGC
rnacentral:rRNA from 1 species